GACGAACGCUGGCGGCGUGCCUAAUACAUGCAAGUCGAGCGAAGCGGCGGAUGGGUGAGUAACGCGUGGGUAACCUGCCCUUAAGUCUGGGAUACCAGUUGGAAACGGAUGCUAAUACCGGAUACUAAAGGAUGGACGUGCGAUGCAUUAGCGGGUUGGUAAGGGAACGGCUUACCAAGGCGAUGAUGCAUAGCCGAGGUGAGAGACUGAUCGGACACAUUGGGACUGAGACACGGCCCAAACUCCUACGGGAGGCAGCAGUAGGGAAUCUUCCACAAUGGACGAAAGUCUGAUGGAGCAACGCCGCGUGAGUGAAGAAGGUUUUCGGAUCGGAAAGCUCUGUUGUUGGUGAAGCGGUAAUCAACCAGAAAGUCACGGCUAACUACGUGCCAGCAGCCGCGGUAAUUC
rnacentral:rRNA from 1 species